rnacentral:rRNA from 1 species
AGUCGAACGGCAGCACGGGGCAACCUGGUGGCGAGUGGCGAACGGGUGAGUAAUAUAUCGGAACGUACCCAGAAGUGGGGGAUAACGUAGCGAAAGUUACGCUAAUACCGCAUACGAUCUACGGAUGAAAGUGGGGGACCUUCGGGCCUCAUGCUUUUGGAGCGGCCGAUAUCUGAUUAGCUAGUAGGUAGGGUAAAGGCCUACCUAGGCGACGAUCAGUAGCUGGUCUGAGAGGACGACCAGCCACACUGGGACUGAGACACGGCCCAGACUCCUACGGGAGGCAGCAGUGGGGAAUUUUGGACAAUGGGCGCAAGCCUGAUCCAGCAAUGCCGCGUGAGUGAAGAAGGCCUUCGGGUUGUAAAGCUCUUUUGUCAGGGAAGAAACGGCUUGGGAUAAUACCUUGAGCUAAUGACGGUACCUGAAGAAUAAGCACCGGCUAACUACGUGCCAGCAGCCGCGGUAAUACGUAGGGUGCAAGCGUUAAUCGGAAUUACUGGGCGUAAAGCGUGCGCAGGCGGUUUUGUAAGUCUGACGUGAAAUCCCCGGGCUUAACCUGGGAAUUGCGUUGGAGACUGCAAGGCUAGAGUCUGGCAGAGGGGGGUAGAAUUCCACGUGUAGCAGUGAAAUGCGUAGAGAUGUGGAGGAACACCGAUGGCGAAGGCAGCCCCCUGGGUCAAGACUGACGCUCAUGCACGAAAGCGUGGGGAGCAAGCAGGAUUAGAUACCCUGGUAGUCCACGCCCUAAACGAUGUCUACUAGUUGUCGGGUUUUAAUUAACUUGGUAACGCAGCUAACGCGUGAAGUAGACCGCCUGGGGAGUACGGUCGCAAGAUUAAAACUCAAAGGAAUUGAC